rnacentral:tRNA from 1 species
CUCCCGCUACCAAGCCCGGGGG